CAGGGAUCCACUAAGCUCACUUUGAGAAAGCCCUCUUUCUUGGGAUAGCAUCAUGCAAUGACACAGUUUUUGCAAGCUUCCAAAACUUCGUGAAGCAAUCUCUGAGAAGAUGAUGAACAGGACACAGAAAAACCUGAACAAGCUUCUACCUUAUUUCUUGGAGUACUAAAUCUACUAUGUUUUAGCUUCCAAAAUUCAAGAAGAUGCAUCCUGUGCCAUAACAAGAGAACCUAUCUAAAUAUCAAAGCCCAGUUUUGCUGAAUUCAAAAUAUACACAUUAUGUUGUCUGAAAAGACUGAAAGCUCAAGACUGAACCUAUAGUUCCAAACAUCUGGAUUCGUUACCUUACCUUUCCUCUACCUUGUGCCAUGCAGUGGUUACGAGAUCCUGCCUGUGAGGACCUGUCCAGAAGAUAUCUGCAAAGACCAUGAAAUUCAGAAUGGAGCUGAAAAGUAUGUGAUAAAUAAGUAAACACUAAGUCCAGCUCACCUCCAAGCACUGCACCUUUAAAUAACAUUUUCUGAAGUAAUAACUUGUUUUUCUCACAUAAAUAGAUAUGAAUUGUUGACACUGAAGAAAAAGAAAUGUCAAAUAAGAAGCUACUGCUUUUUACAGCUGCUUUUUUUUUUUAGUGCAAACUAUUAACUUUUGGUUUUCCAUCUACAUUUUCUGGAUACAACCCUGGAAAAACACACGCUCAUAUGUUGGUGACUAUAAAAAAGGGGAUACAAGGUUCUUCUAAAACUUUACAAUCUUUCAGAAAAAAAAACUUUUAUCCGGAGAGGACGUGAAUUAUUUUAUAACAUAGCACUUCAACACAGUGGCAUGUAUUUCCAAUUGUAUCUACCUAUUGCCACGUCUAUUUAAUAUUACUACCUGUCUAUAUGGGAGCAAUAGCGUUGCAGUACUUUACACUUUUAGUGUAAAUGUUUCAAUUCUUCAAUUCCAGUGAUUUUGCAAAACAUUAAACAACUGGUAGAGCAAAAAAAAAAAAAAACCACAAAAAACACACACACAAAAAAACAACAGCAAACUACAGGGAAAGAAGACAGAAUGGAAACGAUGAUGAUCAGACCAAAGGCCUGAAUUUGCUGCCAUUUACACUCACAGAAGUAGUCUCACUGUUUCUGGAUAUUUCCCUAAAUACGGAUGGUGGCAAGCACAUCAGAGACUGUAUGCGGAUGGAUUAAGAACAAUGAGUCAGCCUCUCUGCUUUAAUAAAAGGGGAAAAAGAAAAGAAACAAACUUGUAAAAACACCCCAGUGAUUUUUAGUAAAUCAGACAAGGUUAUACAAAUAAAAUGCAAUAGCCAUGUGAUCUCAGUAAAGCCAAUUAUAUCUAAAUAACCACAGUGCAGAGGUGUGAACUGUUCUUUGCUAGUUACUCAUUAACUAAUCUUCAUUAAUCAUAUAAAAUGUUGUGGUGUUUUUUUUUUUUUUUUUUCACGAUUCUGGAUUCUAUAACCAUAAUCUCCCAAUCACUGUUUUGCUCAGGUGGCCUCAUUCCACCUGCUAUCCUUUCCUUCCUUGCUAAGGUAUUUUGCAAUAGCAGCCGAUGAGUAGGAGUUACAAAAAGGGGCUCCAGGUGUACAGCACAGAUGAAAUCUCUUCCAGGGAAAUAGGGAUUAUUAUUAUUAUUAUUUUUUAAUCUUACAUUUUAUAAUCAGUGAAAACAAAUGAAAAAGCAAUUAAGUAUCUUUCAUUUGUUUCAUGGGCUGACAAACAAAACUGAGCAAAUGCAAAAACCAAACACUACAUAAAGCUUUUCCCCCACUUUUAAGAUCUAGAUAAAAGUCCUGUAGAACAUACCCAGGAAUACAGGGAAAACACGUUAAAAGAAUGCAGCAAUCAAAACUCAGUUAAUCCUGUGACUGAAAUACCCUUGUAUGUGUAGCAGCUAACACUCCAUCUCUGUGGUAUGUUUUAUGCCUCUUGGAUGCAUAAUGAUAUUCAAACCUCAUUAUACCUAUGUUUCUUUGCAGAAACAUAUAAAAGCAAAAAUUAAAUGCAAAGAAUAAUUAUAAGAGCAUCUGUCAGAUCUUCUUUCCUCAGCCUUAUGUUCCUCCACCCAGAUAAAUUAAGAGGAUUCAGCCCCAGGAAAACAGAGAUCUCAAGAGCACUGCUGAAGACAAUCAGCAUCAGGAACUUCACGUAUCUGAACUACUUCCUUACAGCUCCUUGGAAAAGUCAUUCAAGUCACCAUGACAGCUGAAGAAACACUCUCUCAACAUGUUUCAUCUUGAGACGAAACCAUCUCAAAAAUCACGUAGUCUAAACUUUGUCCUGCUACACAGAUGAAAGACCUAUGUAGGAUAACUUAUUAAGAUUUUCACCAGUUUCUUUCAGAGGAGAACUUGAAUCAUUGACACAAACAACUUGCAUCAGUCACUAAUUACCUGUCAUUAACACUUUUAAUCCAGUCAUAUUCAAGUAUAGUUCAGGUGGUGGUUUACAUUAUAGUUUGAGGCACAUAGUUAUGACAACUAUAACGGACAGCUAAAAGGUCUUCCUCAAAUCCAACAUCUUAGUAUAAAAAAAUUAAGGUGAUUUUUCCCCCCAAACAUCCACCCUCUUUUUUGUCCAAAGCAGGAAUGCCAGCCUCAAACGCUGCUUAAACUAUCCUGUCUUUUUCCUCCACGGCCACAGCUUUUUAUCUGCUGCUCUUAUCCUUGCAGACAGAUAGGCAGACAUAAAAUGAUGCCAAUCUCAUAGAGAGGAGGUCUGGCAAUCUGCUUUCCAAAGCCCAAAACAAACAGUCCUCUGAGGACUAGCCAGCAGGGCACUGUGAAGCGGAAAGCUAGGUUGUCCCUUCCAUGUGUCCCAGUAUAUCAAGGUUCAAGCUUCAUUGACUCCAGUAUAGAGACCUUAAUCAAGAUUUUUCAUGCCUCAGAGAACAGUACAGCUGCUAAACUUUCUUUAAUAAGCGUUUUAUACCUGGGGAAGCUGAAUAGGAAUUAGCUGAAAAGAGAUGAGUUAUUUCUGCCUUUGUUAAGCAGCAAUUUAUUAUAACACAAGUACUAACAUUGUUUUGCUCUAACAUGAAAGAGAUGCUGCUGUACAUGGUUUAGCUAAGUCAUUGAUUCUGUUUCAGUUGCUGCCUGCAUUUUUUCUUGCAGUAUGAGUUUGCUUAAAAUUCAAGCCAAACACACUGUGUUAUGUCUGAGGAGAGACUUCCCUAUUUUUUUAUUUCCCAUCAAGUAAAGCAGAUACAGUCAUCUUCCCAGGACGUACUGACAAUACUGUCUUUAUAAAGCUCACCUUGAGGUUUCAUAACAAUUUAAUUUUAAAUGAAAUUAAUCUCCUCUUACCUUAAUGAGCCAGUGUUGGCAAUGUCAACGGAAUAUUCUUUUAAAGAAGACACAGGGACACAGGUAUAAGGUAGGUCAUCAAAAGCGGCCACACUGUAGAAUUUCAGUGAAAUAAUACUGCAGAUACUUUGCCUGAAUAUGUUUUGCAUUGCAGACCAGUUUUUAUCUCCUUAACUUACCACUGGAAUCUAGAAUAUAGAGGGAAACUACUGUUUCUUCUGGGGAUUAGUUUUGUGGGGAGGUUCUAACUAUAAAAGGAGCCCUUUCUUGAUGAGAGAUGGUAAUAUCAUAGAUAAUCGGGGAUUUGUUAAAGAUUAUGAAGAAACAGGAUGACAGCCAAGCCAGACAGAAACAUUGUUCAGUUUGGAGUAUGGUAAACUCCUGAGAACCUGAGAGGUAGAGACGCAUCUAACAAUACUUAUUAGAAACUUGACUGUCUGACAACAGCAAGACACGAGCUAAUAAUUUAUAAAUUCCUUAUCCUUCCUGAUUUCAGUCAAUUCUUAGCUAGAAUUCUGGGGAAUUCAAGUAUAAACACAAGCCUUAUAGCUUCUUAGAUACUGUGUAUUUGAGUGAUCUGAAGCACAGCUGCUUCAAACUGGAAACUGUCGAGCACUGUGGCAGCCUUUGAAGAAUUUAAUGGGAUCCUAGUUCCUGUCCUGCCUAUCUCUGCAUGCAUUGCAUGGCAAAUGAUCUGUUAUUCCUCCCACUAGCAAGGACAAUGAGUAGUCCCCACUGAUGUAAAACAGAAAAAGUAUUCUUUAUCUGAACAAGACACCCACUCCAUUAUCUAUAAGCCAUGUGAUAAAGUUAAGCAGAGGAGGCAUACCAAUGUGUUCAAUCACAGAUAGCUAUAUACAAACGUAUUACCUGAUGGCUGAUGGAGGAGGACUGCCAAGCAUGUUAACUUGAUGUGGCUUGAUGCUCUCAGCUUUUGUCCUUGGAGAUUAGGACUCUGUAGAAGGUGUUCUCCAUGAGAGCAUCAGAGCAUUAUGCCUUCUUUACAUUCCCCUUCCUCCCUUUCCUAUACAAAGACAGAACAGGGAUCAAGCUAAUUAGAUGAUUUCAAGCUGACACCCAGAGAAAGGGGAAAACAAAACCAAAAACAACAACACAAACACAUAAACA